CAGAACGAACGCUGGCGGCGCGUCUUAAGCAUGCAAGUCGAGCGGCAAGAGGUAGCAAUACCUCCUAGAGUGGCGGACUGGUGAGUAACACGUGGGUGACAUACCCUUCAGAUGGGGAUAGCUAUUAGAAAUAGUAGAUAAUACCGAAUACGAGCACAGGGGGUUAGAGAUCUGUGAGGAAAGGAGCUAAGGCUCCGCUGAAGGAAUGGCCUGCGGCCCAUUAGCUAGUUGGUGAGGUAAGAGCCCACCAAGGCGAUGAUGGGUAUCCGGCCUUAGAGGUGAACGGACACAUUGGACUGAGAUACGGCCCAGACUCCUACGGGAGGCAGCAGCUAAGAAUAUUCCGCAAUGGAACGAAAGUCUGACGGAGCGACGCCGCGUGGAUAGAAGAAGGCCGGAAGGUUAGUAAAAUUCCUUUUAGAAACUGAAGAAUAAGCGUUGUAGGGAAUGACAGCGUGGUGACAGUUAGGUUUUGAAUAAGCAACGGCUAAUUACGUGCCAGCAGCGGC
rnacentral:rRNA from 1 species